rnacentral:snoRNA from 1 species
AUGCAGUGAUGACCCGAAUUUCUUCACCUGAAACAUAUUUUGAUGCUUUGUUUUUUGAGCUUUUUAACCCUGAGCAUC